rnacentral:tRNA from 1 species
GCCUAGUUAGCUUAGUUGGUAGUGCGUCUGCCUUGUAAGCGCUAGACCGCGGGUUCGAUUCCCGCCUGGGGCG